UACGUAGGGACCAAGCGUUGUUCGGAUUUACUGGGCGUAAAGGGCGCGUAGGCGGCGUGGUAAGUCACUUGUGAAAUCUCUGAGCUUAACUCAGAACGGCCAAGUGAUACUGCUGUGCUAGAGUGCAGAAGGGGCAAUCGGAAUUCCUGGUGUAGCGGUGAAAUGCGCAGAUAUCAGGAGGAACACCGGUGGCGAAGGCGGGUCUCUGGGCAGUAACUGACGCUGAGGAGCGAAAGCGUGGGGAGCGAACAGG
rnacentral:rRNA from 1 species